rnacentral:tRNA from 1 species
GCUGGUAUAGCUCAGUUGGUAGAGCAACUGAUUUGUAAUCAGUAGGUCGUCAGUUCGAACCCGACUACCAGCACCA